CUUUAACGGAGAGUUUGAUCCUGGCUCAGGAUGAACGCUGGCGGCAUGCCUAAUACAUGCAAGUCGUGCGGGGGUCUUCGGACCCUAGCGGCGAACGGGUGAGUAACACGUGGGCAACCUGCCCGUAAGACUGGGAUAACUCCGGGAAACCGGUGCUAAUACCAGAUAAUAUC
rnacentral:rRNA from 1 species